AUUGAACGCUGGCGGCAGGCCUAACACAUGCAAGUCGAGCGGAGCGGCGGAAGGGUGAGUAAUAUCUGGGAAACUGCCUCACGGAGGGGGAUAACUACUGGAAGCGGUAGCUAAUACCGCAUACCAUCAGAUGUUGCAAGAUGGGAUUAGAUAGUCGGUGGGGUGAAGGCCUACCAAGGCGACGAGCCGUAACUGGUCUGAGAUGAUGAUCAGUAACACGUGAACUGAGACACGGUCCAGACUCCUACGGGAGGCAGCAGUGGGGAAUAUUGGACAAUGGGCGAAAGCCUGAUCCAGCCAUGCCGCGUGUGUGAAGAAGGUCUUCGGAUUGUAAAGCACUUUAAGUUGGGAGGCGUUACCAACAGAAUAAGCACCGGCUAACUUCGUGCCAGCAGCCGCGGUAAUUC
rnacentral:rRNA from 1 species